UCGUCUCAGUUCGGAUUGGAGCUGCAACUCGACUCCAUGAAGCUGGAUUCGCUAGUAAUCGCGCAUCAGCCAUGGCGCGGUGAAUACGUUCCCGGGCCUUGUACACACCGCCCGUCAAGCCAUGGAAGUCGGGGGGUGCCUGAAGUGCGUGACCGCAAGGAGCGCCCUAAGGUAAAAACCGGUGACUGGGGCUAAGUCGUAACAAGGUACC
rnacentral:rRNA from 1 species